CGAGAUCCGACCCGGAGGGCCGAGAGACAUGUGCGGCGAGCGGCGGGAGGGGCGGGUCCUUCCGCCCUCUGGGGCGAGCGGCUCGGCUUCGAACGCGGCUCUGAAGGCGCUCGGGCAGCGGGAGGCCUCCGGGGCUGGAGGGCCGCACCGCGCCGAGGGCUCCCACAGGCCUCGCCCGCCGCCCACCCGGGACCCCGGCGGCCCCGCUCGACAGCGGCCCGGGAACGGUCCCAGCCGGCCCUGCCCGCCGGCGCGGCACAGGCGGCCAGGAGGGCAGAAGAUGAGGGGUUACCGUACGCUGCUCCGGAGCUAGCAGGGUUAGGACGCGGCUCCAGCGACCCGAAGCCGGCUCGGCAGCGGCUGCGGCGGCCGCGUCCUUUAUUUUUGCUGCAGCAGCGGCGACUUGUCAAAGGGAACGACGUAAGAGGCGGUGGCAGCGGCGGCAGGACUGCCAGAACCCUGCAGAUGCUGGGGGCUGCCACUCCUCGGCUUUCUUUUCCGCCGAGGAACGCGGAGUUUGGUAGGAGAGACAGCACCAAGCCCUACUACAACAGCUGUGGAACACAUCUGGACCAUGUCAACAUCUCUUCCUUGUCUCUUGUAGCUGUGCCUAGCUGAACCCACCCAGGA
rnacentral:lncRNA from 1 species